GCUGUAGCUCAGGGACAGAUCAUCUGCUUUGCAUGUAGAAGGUCACAGGUUCAAUCUCUGGCGUCUCCA
rnacentral:tRNA from 1 species